CGCGCAGGUGGGUUAGCAAGUCAGAGGUGAAAUCCUACAGCUUAACUGUAGAACUGCCUUUGAGACUGCUAAUCUUGAGUACGGAAGAGAGAGAUGGAAUUCCAGGUGUAGUGGUGAAAUACGUAGAUAUCUGGAAGAACACCAGUGGCGAAGGCGAUCUCUUGGUCCUUUACUGACGCUAAGGCGCGAAAGCGUGGGGAGCAAACA
rnacentral:rRNA from 1 species